GACGAACGCUGGCGGCGUGCCUAAUACAUGCCAGUCGAACGCUUCUUUCCUCCCGAGUGCUUGCACUCAAUUGGAAAGAGGAGUGGCGGACGGGUGAGUAACACGUGGGUAACCUACCCAUCAGAGGGGGAUAACACUUGGAAACAGGUGCUAAUACCGCAUAACAGUUUAUGCCGCAUGGCAUAAGAGUGAAAGGCGCUUUCGGGUGUCGUUGAUGGAUGGACCCGCGGUGCAUUAGCUAGUUGGUGAGGUAACGGCUCACCAAGGCCACGAUGCAUAGCCGACCUGAGAGGGUGAUCGGCCACACUGGGACUGAGACACGGCCCAGACUCCUACGGGAGGCAGCAGUAGGGAAUCCUCGGCAAUGGACGAAAGUCUGACCGAGCAACGCCGCGUGAGUGAAGAAGGUUUUCGGAUCGUAAAACUCUGUUGUUAGAGAAGAACAAGGACGUUAGUAACUGAACGUCCCCUGACGGUAUCUAACCAGAAAGCCACGGCUAACUACGUG
rnacentral:rRNA from 1 species